GAAGAAUUAGUUAACAAAUAACAUUAGAAUGUCAAACUGAAGUUACCUAAGCCAAGGUAUUCUUCU
rnacentral:tRNA from 1 species